GCCUGAGUAGCUCAGUUGGUUGAGCGUCUGACUUCAGCUCAGGUCAUAAUCUUGCAGUUCGUGAGUUCGAGCCCUGCAUCAGGCU
rnacentral:tRNA from 1 species